rnacentral:rRNA from 1 species
UCUUGGUCAUUUAGAGGAAGUAAAAGUCGUAACAAGGUUUCCGUAGGUGAACCUGCGGAAGGAUCAUUAUUGAAUAAAAUUGGCUGGGUUGUUGCUGGCUUUUAGGAGCAUGUGCACACUCGGUGUCAUUUUAUUAACCACUUGUGCACUUUAUGUAGACCCCUUGAGUUUUCGAGGAAACUCGGAUUGAGGAAGGUGCCUUCUGAUGGAGGGCUCUCCUUGUGCGCUCUGGGGGUCUAUGAUUUCACACACACUAUGAAUGUAACAGAAUGUUGACAUAUUGGCAUUGUGCCUUUAAUACAAUACAACUUUCAACAACGGAUCUCUUGGCUCUCGCAUCGAUGAAGAACGCAGCGAAAUGCGAUAAGUAAUGUGAAUUGCAGAAUUCAGUGAAUCAUCGAAUAUUUGAACGCACCUUGCGCUCUUUGGUAUUCCGAAGAGCAUGCCUGUUUGAGUGUCAUUUAAAUCAUCAAUUUUUUUUGAAUUGUCAUCGAUUCAGUCAAGAUUGGAUUGUGGGGGUGUGCGGGCUCGUAUCAGAGUCGGCUCUCCUUAAAAAUGUUAGUGAGGCCUUUGUCGACCGUCACUGGUGUGAUAAUUAUCUACGCCACUUGAAGGUCUUCAUUGUUGGACUUGCUUCUAACUGGUCUGGUUAACAGACGACUUUUGACUAAUUUGACCUCAAAUCAGGUAGGACUACCCGCUGAACUUAAGCAUAUCAAUAAGCGGAGGA